AAGUCGUAACAAGGUUUCCGUAGGUGAACCUGCGGAAGGAUCAUUAAAAAAUAUAGAAUUAAUUUUCUAUAAACCCAAUCUGUGUAUUCGUACCUGUUGCUUCCGUGUGACAGUGAACGCUUGUCGUUCCCUCUGGCGCUGUUCUUCGGAACGGAUGCUGGGGAGUGCCCACGGGAGGUCUACAUAAACUCUGUUUUUUCUGAACUCAGUCUGAAAACUGUUUUUAAAUAAACUUUAAAACUUUCAACAACGGAUCUCUUGGUUCUC
rnacentral:misc_RNA from 1 species